rnacentral:lncRNA from 1 species
AGAAUCCCAUGGACAGAGGAGCCAGUCGGACAUGACAGAAGCAACUUAGCAUAGCAUAACAUAGCAUGGAAGCUUCAUCAGACUUAUUCACCAAGCCAACGUGCUGGCUAAUAUCUACGACAAAUUCCAUCCCAUCUCAGGUUCCAUUUCCGAGCAAUGGCAUCACACAGCCGGUUUUAUCAAAUGCAACAGUUGUUUCCAUGACCAUUGGAGUCUGAAGCACAGCCGCAUUUUAGGACCAUACUUCCCCAAACACAAAAGCUGCUUGCUGUUCAAAGCUCCUAGCCACUUUCGUCUUAUGAACUGUACUGUAUCGUCAUAUUUCAUUCCACCUUCAGUUACUGCUGGGGCGACAGGUGCUGGAACUCUGCCGAGGCCUGCCACACAACGAAGAGCAACGCAACGACCAGGGUCUUCACAAAACUUAAUUUUCACAAGACAAUCAUCGACAAUCUGGUUAGAUGGUUGUGUGCCAUUUUCAAAAUGCCAGUUGAGAACAUGGAUGCCUUCUUUCUCCACAGGGGAGCUGGGUGGUUCAUUCGAGCCACGUUUAUUCAGUUAAAAAACACUCAAUAGGGAUAUGAAAGAAUUUAAAAAAUUGAAUACAGAAAUGAUGCAAAGAUACUGAGUCUACUUCAGUAUACUCCACUUGAAAUUCUUAAGUCCUUUCGAGUAUGAAGUUGAGAGUAACGGGAAAUGCAAUGAACCUCGAAACAAGAAGCAGCAAUUCUUCAAUCCAAUAAUGUUGAAGCAAUAGAAAGGAAGUACCCUGAGGUUUACCCCAUCCAGAUUCGACCUCUUGUAAAAAACACUCUGAGGAUUUCAAUUCAACACUUCUGUGUCCAGGUUAAUCCCUCUUAUGGGGGCUUCUUGAUGGACUAAUAAUGAAUUUCUACAGUUCACUUGUCUGCAUAGAGGUUGUGCUGUGCCUGGUAGUAAUCUCCACUGCCCUUCAGAAACUCCGUAAAUGUGUGACCGAGAAAACCUCAGAACUGCUUCCCUCCAGCCUGUUCUCUUGCUGUAGGUUUAGUUAUCCAGCGGCUUUCCUGGUGGCUCAGCAAUAAAGAACCCGCCUGCUAGUGCA